ensembl:misc_RNA Metazoa_SRP Metazoan signal recognition particle RNA
GCCAGGCACAGUGGCACGUGCCUGUAGUCCCAGCUACUCGGGAGGCUGAGGUGGGAGGAUCGCUUUAGCAGGAGUUCUGGGCUGUAGAACCCUAUUCCAGUCAGGUGUCUGCACUAAGUUUGGCAUCAAUAUGGUGACUUCCUGGGAGCAGGGGACCACCAGGUUGCCUAAGGAGGGUUGAACUGACCCAGGCCAGAAACGGAGCAGGUCAAAACUCCCAUGCCGAUCAGUAGUGGGAUCGUGCCUGUGAAUAGCCACUGCACUCCAGCCUGGCAACAGAGAGAGAUCCCAUCUCUU